ensembl:lncRNA
GGAUUUCGGAAGAGAAAACUCGUGGUUUUUUGGGUUAAUUGGGGGAUUUGCGAAGAGAAAUCGCGUGAUUUUCGCUUAAAUGGGGGAUUUGAGAAAACACGUGAUUUUCGGGUUAAAUGGGGGAUUUUUGAAGAGGAAAUGCUUCGUUUCAGGUUAAAUGGGGGGUUUUCGAAGGCAAAAUGCGUGAUUUUCACUUCAAUGGGGGAUUUUCCAAGAGAAAAUGCAUGAUUUUCUUUUUAGAUGGGGGAUUUUCAUAGAGAAAAGGCAUGAUUUUUGUGUUAAGUGGGGGAUAUUUGCAAAGAAAAGGCGUGAUUUUCGGGUUAAAUAGGGGAUUUUUGAAGAGAAAAUGCGUGAUUUGGGGUUAAA